AAAGUCGUAACAAGGUUUCCGUAGGUGAACCUGCGGAAGGAUCAUCAUUGAAUCUAUAUUCUACACACCCUUGUGAACUUGGCAACUCGAUUUCUCCACAGAUUGUGUAGUUUUCGAGUGUGCCGGCAUUUUAUGUCUGGUGUUGGCGGAGUCUGUGUAUGUGUCGGUCGGUUUCGACCGACGCUGCAGUCCGCCGAUGCUUAGACCCUUGUUAAAACAAACUCUGUUAUAAAACGAAAAACUAAUACAAUAUGUUUGUAAUUAAAACAACUUUCAACAAUGGAUCUCUUGGCUCUC
rnacentral:misc_RNA from 1 species